rnacentral:rRNA from 1 species
CCUACGGGCGACAGCAGUGAGGAAUAUUGGUCAAUGGACGAGAGUCUGAACCAGCCAAGUAGCGUGAAGGAUGACUGCCCUAUGGGUUGUAAACUUCUUUUAUAAAGGAAUAAAACGAGGCACGUGUGCCUUUUUGCAUGUACUUUAUGAAUAAGGAUCGGCUAACUCCGUGCCAGCAGCCGCGGUAAUACGGAGGAUCCGAGCGUUAUCCGGAUUUAUUGGGUUUAAAGGGAGCGUAGAUGGGUUGUUAAGUCAGUUGUGAAAGUUUGCGGCUCAACCGUAAAAUUGCAAGUGAUACUGGCAGUCUUGAGUACAGUUGAGGUAAGCGGAAUUCGUGGUGUAGCGGUGAAAUGCUUAGAUAUCACGAAGAACCCCGAUUGCGAAGGCAGCUUACUAAACUGUGACUGACAUUGAUGCUCGAAAGCGUGGGUAGCAAACAGGAUUAGAUACCCUAGUAGUC